rnacentral:rRNA from 1 species
CAGUAGCCGCGGUAAAACGGAGGGUGCAAGCGUUAUCCGGAUUUAUUGGGUUUAAAGGGUCCGUAGGCGGAUCUGUAAGUCAGUGGUGAAAUCUCACAGCUUAACUGUGAAACUGCCAUUGAUACUGCAGGUCUUGAGUAAAUUUGAAGUGGCUGGAAUAAGUAGUGUAGCGGUGAAAUGCAUAGAUAUUACUUAGAACACCAAUUGCGAAGGCAGGUCACUAAGAUUUAACUGACGCUGAUGGACGAAAGCGUGGGGAGCGAACAGGAUUAGAUCCCCGGUAGUCCCUGUCUCUUAUACA